GCCCCUUCUCACAUCACACAAUUGAUCGUCUCUUUCUCUCGACACAACUCUGGUUUCUAACUUCGUCGACUUAGCCAUAGAAAAGAGAAUAUGAUCUAAUCUUCUCCCUCCAACUACACACAACCAUGAUCCCCCCAAACGAAUUAGCUCUUCAAAAACGUCAAUAAAGAGAAUUUUUUGGAGAAGUAAGUUUCAAUUUUCUAGGGUUUUUAAGUUUUCUCAAAUGUAAUUUCCCCUUUUUAAUUGGGUAGAAGAGACGGAGAGUUUCAAACUGUCAGCGCUUCACCAUCUUCGUCGCUUCUCUGUAUCGCAGGAAGCCAUCUGAGAAUCGCCAGAAUUUGAGAGCUUUCCAGAUCUUCAGUCUGAUCUCCUAUUCCAAGUUUUCAGAUCGCAAACUUCGCCUGCAAGUCGACGAUUUCCGCCCAGUGUCGCUUGUAGGUUCAGUUCGAACCUAUGUCUUCCUCUCGUAGCCUACAUAGUAUUUCUGUGUCAUCAGGUACACGAUGAAGUCAGGAAAUGACUUGCCAAGAGCGUGAGUGCUGAUGUCGCUGCUACACCCGCAUCAUUUAUGGAGGUAGACUAUAUGAUUAACACAUUUGAAGGUACAACCUCCCGCGCAUCGACAAGGAGGAUAUACUCGUCAUUUUGCCCAUCAGAAAAGCCUAAUCCUAUAAGCAUGGGCAAAAAUGCCCAAUUUGAAACUUUUGGCUGCACAAAAGCCCAUAUGGACAAACACCCCAAUAAUCUAUAAACAAAUUACAUUUGUCGUCCAGAUCCAUAAUUGUUGAUAAAGACGAUAAAACAAGAUUUGAUUCUCCACCAAUCCUAUAUAUUCCACAAAGAGGAUGAUGGUUGGAUCGCCUUUGGUUGUUAAAAGUUAAACUAUACUUGUAAUGAGAUCAGGAAGAUGGCCUAUAUAUUCCUUGAUCAGUAGUAUGUGAAUGUUUUUUUUCACAUAUCUCAAGUGACAUUCACAAUCUUACUGUCUUACAAAGAAUACAAAAUCCUGAUGACUAGCUCUUUAUACUCUCUUAAAUGUAACUUCCACAAACUUAUAAGGAACUGAAACUACAGAUAGAUGUACUGGCAAAAAUAAGGCACUCUAGCAAUCGUCUCAAGAACAAAAAACGUUGCAUAGAUUCGAUAACAAUACAAUCUGUGAAGUAUCUUAAUCACCAAGUCCUGAGGGGAAACAUAAAAGAAAAAAAAAA